AUUGAAACACUGGUUCCCGUACAGUCAGCGAAGUUAAGCAACAUCAAGCCUGGUCAGUACCUAGAUGGGUGACCUCUUGGGAAUACCAGUUGCUGUAAG